AUAACCAUGGGCAUUUGGAUAAUCUGAUUUUCUAAUACAAUUCCAAAAAUCUUUAUGAUAAAGAUCACUAAGUGUUGCGACUUGCUGACCGCUAAAUAAUAGCCAACUGGCUAAGCAGUUUAAAUCCUUAUAACUAUCAAAUAGUUCGAUUUCUUUGGAUGGUUUUCAAGGCACUAUAACUAUAUGUACAAUUACUGUCAAAAAUGAUUUUAAGGUUAUCGGCACAAGUGCACUGGUAAGUAAGUAAAACUACAAUACAGAGAUCUGUAAACAGAUCGCUUAUCAAAAUUUGAUAAAUUGUGAUAGCUAGAGGAGUAUUUAUUAAAACAGCGUAUUUAUGAACAAUGUGACUAAAAAGUUAUUCUACGCAAGGUUGGUUUAUUUACUUAAGCCGAUUUUGCAAAAUAUUAACUGUUGAAGAUAAUAUGAUAAUGAGUUAUCUAACUAUAUGAUGAUAUACCAAAAUGGUUUAUUUUAUUUUGAUGUAGAAAUUGAAUUUGAUAUAGUGCGUAGAUAACAAAUAAAAGUUCUUUAUCAAAUAAAAAAUUAGUAUAACUAUACCUUAUUUCAAAAUGAAGGAGGUAUAGUACCAUCUCAAUAUUUGCAUGAAUCUAAAGACGAAAAUUAUGUAAAUAAAACCGCGACUUUACAAUAUUGUGGAUUACUUAUCAUGUUGCCUGCUUAGAUAUAUUAACACUCUAAAAAAUGUUAUUUUGGGGUGCAGAUCAAAGUGCGGUCAAAAAGCACAAUGGAUUUUGACCGCACUUUUUCGUAUUAAGGAAUUA
rnacentral:sRNA from 1 species